CCUACGGGAGGCAGCAGUGGGGAAUUUUGGACAAUGGGCGAAAGCCUGAUCCAGCCAUUCCGCGUGAGUGAAGAAGGCCUUCGGGUUGUAAAGCUCUUUCGCAAGGGAAGAAAACUUAGUCUCUAACAUAGACUGAGGUUGACGGUACCUUGAUAAGAAGCACCGGCUAACUACGUGCCAGCAGCCGCGGUAAUACGUAGGGUGCGAGCGUUAAUCGGAAUUACUGGGCGUAAAGCGUGCGCAGGCGGUUUUGUAAGUCAGAUGUGAAAUCCCCGAGCUCAACUUGGGAACUGCGUUUGAAACUACAAGACUAGAAUAUGUCAGAGGGGGGUAGAAUUCCACGUGUAGCAGUGAAAUGCGUAGAGAUGUGGAGGAAUACCAAUGGCGAAGGCAGCCCCCUGGGAUAAUAUUGACGCUCAUGCACGAAAGCGUGGGGAGCAAACAGGAUUAGAUACCCUGGUAGUCCACGCCCUAAACGAUGUCUACUAGUUGUUGGUGGAGUAAAAUCCAUGAGUAACGCAGCUAACGCGUGAAGUAGACCGCCUGGGGAUACGGUCGCAAGNUAAACUAAUGAAUUGACG
rnacentral:rRNA from 1 species